rnacentral:tRNA from 1 species
GGCAAUGUAGUUUAGUGGAAAAAACACUAAAUUUAGAGCCAGAGGAGCUGAGUUCAAAUCUUUGCCUUGCUA